AUCAGUGUUUAAUUUUUUUUAAUUUUUUUUUUUGUCAGUUAAUUGCUACGUAUCUUGGGCUGUCAUGGAUGACACAGUAUAUUUGAAAUAGAAAUUCUGGAGCCGUUAUCUGAUCAAGACUCUUCUGUUGCUAGUGACGGUCAAAUUAUAGAAUUAUUAUUCAGCUUCAGUACACAGUGGAGGGAAAAGUUCUUCAUGACCUUCAGUUAAUGAAAUAUUAACCACUUCUUCAUUAAGGUGCACAUUUUCAAUUGGCACUUGUUCGGGAUCUUGUACCAUUUCUUGAAAUGCUGCAUGUAGUUAAUAACAAUUGUCAUAACGUAUGAAUAAAUUAUACUUCAUAAUUUGUA